rnacentral:rRNA from 1 species
UACAGAGGGUGCGAGCGUUGUCCGGAAUCACUGGGCGUAAAGGGCGCGUAGGUGGUGGCUUAAGCGUGCGGUGAAAGCUCGGGGCUCAACUCCGAGUCGGCCGUGCGAACUGGGCUCACUGGAGCAUAGUAGAGGCAGGUGGAAUUCCGGGUGUAGCGGUGGAAUGCGCAGAUAUCAGGAGGAACACCAAUGGCGAAGGCAGCACUCUGGGACGUGACUGACGCUGAGACGCGAAAGCGUGGGGAGCAAACAGG